GUCUUAGUCCUCUGAUUCUCACUGAAGCUAUCAUUCAAAUGUUAUAUUUAGCUCAGAAUCUGGUACCAGUUGUCUUAGGAUCUGCAAACUAUACUGAUUUGGCACCACCACAUUCCUUCAUAAAUGUUCAGGAUUUUAAAUCCCCUGAACAUCUGUCCAAGUACCUUCUCAAACUUGAUAAAAACCAAAAGGUAAUGC